rnacentral:lncRNA from 1 species
CUGGGCUACAGAGCAAGACUCUGUCUCAGAAAAAAAAAAAAAAAUCCCUAAUCCCAGUCAUUUCCCUGUGAUUAGGAUUAUGAAAUGAAAAGCUGCAACUGGAGUCAGGCAUGAAAACAGAUGCCUGGCAGAGUCAAGAGUUGAUGCAGAGUGAGCGGGCAGAGACAGUGAAGUCUGCAGUUAAAAUCCCUGGCCAGGGUCCUGGUCCCAUCCCAGUGGGCUUCCUGCCUGCCAGCCUGGGGGAGUGGCGUGGGCUGACCCCGACCAGGGGCCAGGGACACAGGAAGGAUCAGACACGGUGCUGCUUGAAAGAAGUCUCUGUGAAGUGGGAGACACACAGGCUUAGAUGUGCACAACUGUGGACAAGUGCUCUGAUAGAAGCAGGUGAUCUGACAGGUGAGGGCUGUGGAGGGAGUGGGGGAAGGCUUCCCUGAGGAGGUGACAUGUGAGCUGAGUGUGGAAGGUCUAGGAGGAGACAGCCAAGUUGGGAUGGGGAUGUCAGUCUGCUCGGGCUGCCAUAACAAAACGCCAUAGACUGGGUGGCUUAAAACACAGGAAAUUAUUUCCACGGUUCUGGAGGCAAAUGUCGGGGGUCACAUGCCAGCUCGGUGGAGUGCUGGUGAGGGCUCCCCUCCUGGCCUGCAGACAGCUGCCUUCUCAUUAUAUCCUCACAUGGUGGUGAGGGUGCACAGGGAGAGAGCUCUCUGGGGUCUCUUUUUGUCAGGAUGCUAAUCCCAUCCUGGGGGCCUCACCGUCAUGACCUCCUCUAACCCUAAUCACCUCCCAAAGGCCCCGCCUCCUAAUACUAUCCCACGGAGGGGUUAGGGCAUCAACAUAAGAAUUUGGAGGGGGCCACAGUUCAGUCCACAGCAGGAUGUGUGUGUGUGGAGUGAAGCAGGUACUUCAGGCUGAAGGAAUGCCUGGGCAAAGGCAAGGAGACAGGACUCGGUGCCACCAGUCAGGGAACUAGAAGCAACUCAAUAUGUUGAGGAAGCAGGGCAGGCUCUCGGGGCUGGGAUGAGAGAUGAGGCUGGAGUGACCCAUGUGCCAUGCAAAGGCUUUUGAGUUUUAACUCGAGGCCCUGUGCUUCCCCAGACUGACCGGGCCUCAACAUCACCUGGGAAUCCUGGAAGGAAACAGGUUCCUGGGCCUUGCUCCAACCUAAGGAACCCGAAUCUGCAUAGGUGAGGCCUCAGAAUCAGCCUUCCCAGCAGCGCGGUGGGGAGUACAGGGGAGCCGCGGGAGGGUUUUGGGAGGGGGGAAGCAGCUACAUGGUAGACCCUGCACGCGCCCUCGCUCCUCUGCUGGAGGAAGUGAUGAGGGCAGGCCUGGGGCUGGCAAUGGGAUCCUCAGCAGUUGCUGCUCAGAUCAGUUGCCUCCUUGGACCAUGUUCCCAUGAGCAAGACAGGAGCCACCAGGAAAUGCAGGUUUCCAUUUGGACAAGCUCCUUUAGGCUGGACAGUCGAGGGAUGGUAGAAGUGUGCCCCCACCCCAUUUCUGCCCCACUUUGCUCUAAUGGUGUGAGUUGGAAGGACCAUCUCCCUCACUUUUCCCUUCAUCCUGAGUGAAACCUGGUUUCCACAGCUCACAUGGCGCCGUAUUUCCAACGUUCAGAGCACAUUGGAAAGUUGGGAGGAAGGAUGAGGCUUGUGUUUUCACUCACAGUAAGUCAAAGGGGCUUCUUGGGAUGGUCCAUUUCCCUAGUUGUUCAGCAGAGGAAGGGGCUUUGUGAUCACUGUUUACAUUGUAUUUGUUUUCCUCCUAGAACUCCCUCCAGAAGAUGAUAAUGAAAGUGUCUGACGCAUAAGGAAAUAAAUAAGAUGGUUAUGUGCCCAGCUCAAGGGCUAAGGUGUUGGUCAAGACCACACCCGAGGGGCUGCCAGUCACAGGGUGGGGUCCAAGCUCCUCACCAGACCCAACCUCCCCUGCUCUGCAACCUCAUCCUUCCCCUGUCUUUCCUGGGUUAAAUUUUACACUUAGUAACACUGAAACCAGGCAGUUUCACACCUCCGAGCCUGCAUCUAUGCUCAUCUCUUUACCUGAAACGUCUUCUCUCACCCCUCCCCCUCUGUCUGGCUAAUUCCUGCUCAUUCUCCAAGACCCAGUUCUCCGUGGUACCCCUUCUCACCCAACACACACCCCUCAAUCUAGCCUUUUCUGUGAGCAACCUACACCACCUUAUGCUGACCUGGUUGGGAGCACAUAUAUAGAAAGUUUGUGUGCCUGCCCCUCCCCAACUCCCCAGUUCCUCAAAAGUAGGGUCUGUGGUGCUAAAUUUUGUCUCUGCAGUCUCUGACAUAUCUAGGAGCUCAACAUAUAUCUGCUAAAUCAAACAGAAUCCAGAUGAACAAGAAUGCCCUCGACAUGUAGAUGUCACAAUUCAACAGCAUUCUAAGGGUUUGCUCGUGCUCAUGGGUAUCUUUAGGACAGGUGGCUUUUAAGGCCUCAAUAUAGAUGUAACACCCUACUCCCCUCGCACAAAAAACAAAAAAACAAAAAAAACUUUAACCCAAA